rnacentral:rRNA from 1 species
GAUGAACGCUGGCGGCGUGCCUAAUACAUGCAAGUCGAGCGAACGGACGAGAAGCUUGCUUCUCUGAUGUUAGCGGCGGACGGGUGAGUAACACGUGGAUAACCUACCUAUAAGACUGGGAUAACUUCGGGAAACCGGAGCUAAUACCGGAUAAUAUUUUGAACCGCAUGGUUCAAAAGUGAAAGACGGUCUUGCUGUCACUUAUAGAUGGAUCCGCGCUGCAUUAGCUAGUUGGUAAGGUAACGGCUUACCAAGGCAACGAUGCAUAGCCGACCUGAGAGGGUGAUCGGCCACACUGGAACUGAGACACGGUCCAGACUCCUACGGGAGGCAGCAGUAGGGAAUCUUCCGCAAUGGGCGAAAGCCUGACGGAGCAACGCCGCGUGAGUGAUGAAGGUCUUCGGAUCGUAAAACUCUGUUAUUAGGGAAGAACAUAUGUGUAAGUAACUGUGCACAUCUUGACGGUACCUAAUCAGAAAGCCACGGCUAACUACGUGCCAGCAGCCGCGGUAAUACGUAGGUGGCAAGCGUUAUCCGGAAUUAUUGGGCGUAAAGCGCGCGUAGGCGGUUUUUUAAGUCUGAUGUGAAAGCCCACGGCUCAACCGUGGAGGGUCAUUGGAAACUGGAAAACUUGAGUGCAGAAGAGGAAAGUGGAAUUCCAUGUGUAGCGGUGAAAUGCGCAGAGAUAUGGAGGAACACCAGUGGCGAAGGCGACUUUCUGGUCUGUAACUGACGCUGAUGUGCGAAAGCGUGGGGAUCAAACAGGAUUAGAUACCCUGGUAGUCCACGCCGUAAACGAUGAGUGCUAAGUGUUAGGGGGUUUCCGCCCCUUAGUGCUGCAGCUAACGCAUUAAGCACUCCGCCUGGGGAGUACGACCGCAAGGUUGAAACUCAAAGGAAUUGACGGGGACCCGCACAAGCGGUGGAGCAUGUGGUUUAAUUCGAAGCAACGCGAAGAACCUUACCAAAUCUUGACAUCCUUUGACAACUCUAGAGAUAGAGCCUUCCCCUUCGGGGGACAAAGUGACAGGUGGUGCAUGGUUGUCGUCAGCUCGUGUCGUGGGAUGUUGGGUUAAGUCCCGCAACGAGCGCAACCCUUAAGCUUAGUUGCCAUCAUUAAGUUGGGCACUCUAAGUUGACUGCCGGUGACAAACCGGAGGAAGGUGGGGAUGACGUCAAAUCAUCAUGCCCCUUAUGAUUUGGGCUACACACGUGCUACAAUGGACAAUACAAAGGGCAGCGAAACCGCGAGGUCAAGCAAAUCCCAUAAAGUUGUCCUCAGUUCGGAUUGUAGUCUGCAACUCGACUACAUGAAGCUGGAAUCGCUAGUAAUCGUAGAUCAGCAUGCUACGGUGAAUACGUUCCCGGGUCU